rnacentral:misc_RNA from 1 species
ACGAGUUCGAAAGUCGGUCGACCGUGCUGGCGGAGACGCAAGUGCACGUCGGUCGCGAACCAUCCACACACCGUGAACCUAUGGCCUCGAGUCCGCUCGGGGCACCCAUUUUUCACUCUGAUAUGUAAAGGAACGUCAUCAUACAUAUGAAACAUA